rnacentral:rRNA from 1 species
CAGUAGCCACGGUAAUACGGAGGGUGCAAGCGUUAAUCGGAAUUACUGGGCGUAAAGCGCACGCAGGCGGUUUGUUAAGUCAGAUGUGAAAUCCCCGAGCUUAACUUGGGGACUGCAUUUGAAACUGGCAAGCUAGAGUCUUGUAGAGGGGGGUAGAAUUCCAGGUGUAGCGGUGAAAUGCGUAGAGAUCUGGAGGAAUACCGGUGGCGAAGGCGGCCCCCUGGACAAAGACUGACGCUCAGGUGCGAAAGCGUGGGGAGCAAACAGGAUUAGAUACCCCGGUAGUCCCUGUCUCUUAUAC